ACAGUCUUGGAAUUUAUUUGUUGUUUUUUUUUUUAAACAGGAUUGAAGCAGAGGCAUUUAUUCCAUCUUGUUAGAUGAAAGAUGGAUGUUUAUUUUGUUCAACUGGUGUUCAUGCAAUGAAAACUGCCUAUAAUUAUUUUCCAAUCAAUUAUUCCUCCAACAAGCUCAGACUGAAAAGAGUUAAAGUAACUGGAGAUAAAGAAGUGUGCGAAGGAUUUAAUUUCCCAACUACAAAGUACUCCAAAGAAUUAACGUUUUGGUGGAUAAGGAUUGAGGAAUAAUAUGGUUUUAACUGGUUUCGAUCUAAUGAACAAAUUGAUCCGGACUUGUGGGAAGACAGAGAUGACUACAAGUUGGCUGCAGAAACAUUCGAGUCUUUAAAAGUUGUAAAUGACCACGCUGAACGUGGAGUGGCCCUCAUUCAAGAAUACAGUGGAUUUUUAACAUGCGAUGAAACGCAGCUGCAAUUCCUGCUGCAAGUUGUAGAAGACCAUCGCAGAAUGUACCCUGAUAGCAGGAAACAAACUCUGUCUGGGCUGCCGAAACCAUGAAUUUAAAACAAUAAUUCCUGAGUUUGCUCUGGACAUUGUCAGGCUGAUACCCUAAACUGUAAAAACUGAGCUUA
rnacentral:lncRNA from 1 species